GGAACGUAGAGCAUGCUAAAGGAUCAUGUAGCCCACAACAACGACAACAAAAUAGAAAAAGAUAGAAACACAAGUUCGUGUGAUAGGAUUUUGUUUGUUUGUUAGUUUUUUUGUUUUUUGUUUCUUCGUAAAGAGCCCCACUUCCAGCAAAAUGAUAAAAUAUCAACAAACAACAUGAUUCAAACAUAGGAAAUGCCAUGCCGCAACUGCUACAGAUUCAUGAAACAAUUGGCAACGGAACAAACCCACAGUUUAGAAAGGGAGAACGUAAAAAUAGUAGUCUGCGGCGGAGGAGGAGUCACGGUGAGUGAUGUGAGAGAGAGGGCUAUGGCAGCAUCUCGUCGCUCGUUGCUCGUUGCUCGCUGGAGUGUGAGAGUAUUAUCUUUCCUGGCCACGGCGAAAUAAGGGUGUGCUUCGUGGGCUUGUGGGUACACUGUUUCUUCCACCUCUCCCCUGCUGAGAAGGCACAGCACGCUGUAAAUUCGUCUCUGGGAAAGCGCCGGUGGAAGUGUGUGUGUGUUCGCUAGGGCAAAAGUAGUGGAGUCUAUGAAACAUUUGUCUGCGGCGGGCGAUGUGGUCGAGUGCGAUUGGAGUGUGACGAAGUGUGAAGAAGCGAAAGGUGAGACAUGCGGAGACAUGUUGAGGAGAUAUAAGUAGCUGAAGGGGAGGAGAAAUGUCUCAGGAAUUAUUUGAUAGUGGAUGUCUUAAGACGCGCUCAGGUUGAGUGAUUCUGGAAGGGUUGUAUCGAGUUUGGAGCUUCGCUACAUCGUAAUUGGAUUCGGUAGAAGCUUCAACGGCGUAAUGCCUGACGUGGUAGCGGCAGGAGACACCUGCUCGGACGAUGAGAAGAAGGACCCCAAUAACCUAAAGCAGGAGCAGUUGGUACCGGGCGUCUCAUCUGUCGAAGAAAAUUCGAUCACAGUCAAUGGAGAUGCCAGGAAGAGAGCCUCAUCGGCAGUAAUAGAAUGUGAUGAUUCCCAUAAUCGAUUAAAUGGUGGGAAUGCUGAUAGAAGUGAAGCCACGGUUCGAAGUCUUCGCAAGCGAGUCUCCAGAGUUAGCUACGCCGAGAAAGGUCCCGAAGAUGAUGAAAGCAUCAACAAUCGUCGGAAAACCCCGAGUAAGAAAAGAGUUGCUAAAGAGAAGACCGCAGAUGUCAAGGGUGACGUAGCGAAAGAGGAAGUGCCUCAGGAUGGCCAUGUGAAGCAGGGAGUAGAUGGAGUGCUUGCGGAAGAAGGAAGUGGCAAGGAAUCGUCAAAGGUGACGAAUGGGAAAGUUAUUGAGGAACUGGAAUCUGGAGAUGUUGCUAUUCCUGACGCAAAUGGUAACCGGCGCAACCGCAAAGUAUCAAAGAAGAGCGAACCCGAAGACGAACAGAAGAAAGAAGAGGCGAGACUUGCUGCGGAGGCUGCAGUCAGAAAUAGAAAGAUUAAGCCGGUCAAGCAUUGGAGUCAUGUCGAGCGGGAGGAGACGCCAGCAGGUGCUACAAGCAGGAUGUGUCAUCAAUGUCAAAGAAACGACAAACCUCGAGUGACCUAUUGCUCUAAAUGCGGGAAACGAUAUUGUUAUCCUUGUAUCCUGUUAUGGUACCCAAAGCUGAAGGAAGAAGACGUAGCUGCAAUGUGUCCUUUCUGCAAAGGAUAUUGCAACUGCAAGAACUGUCUUCGUAUUGUUGUACCCCUCAAGAAGAUGGAGUUUUCGAACGACGACAAGAAUAAAAUUUUUAAAUACACACUCAGGAAAGUCCUUCCUGCGUUACGACAAAUCGAGCAGGAACAGAGAGAGGAGCUACAACUAGAAUGCAGAACAAAAGGGAAAGAUGAAGUGGAGGUGGAGUUUGCAGAGGGCAUCGAUGGUAAUGAACGAAUUUAUUGUAACAAUUGCAGUACUUCCAUUGUGGACUACAUGCGGAGCUGCGAGGGUGGGUGUGAAUACGAUCUUUGUUUAACUUGCUGUCGUGAGCUACGGGCGGGGCAGCAACCAGGAGGAGAGAAUGCGGAUUGUGCACGUGUACAUGGGAAGAAAGAUAAGGAGUCUUCAGACCCUGAUAAUGUCCCUGCGGAUACGUCCCUGGUGUCUAACGGAGAUGAUAAAGCUACUCGGUCAAAUAUGGGAACAGUUCCAGUAGAAUCCGUGGUAUUGCCGCCGUGGUCAGCCCUUCCAAAUGGAGAGAUACCCUGUCCCCCAGAACUUAGGGGAGGCUGUGGAAAGCAUCUGCUAGGGUUGAGAACAUUGUUUGAGCGUGGCUGGGUGAAAGACUUAAUUAAUGAGGUUGAGAUGCUGCUUGAGUCUAAUGAUGAAGAAGGGAAGCUUGAAAUCCAAGAGCAGUCUUGCUCGUGUAAUGGUAGUGUCGACAGCUUCGCUAACACGCGAUUGGCUGCCCAUAGAGCGGACAGUCUCGAUAAUGCUCUUUACUGCCCGACGUAUUUGGAGGUUGAGAAAGAGGGUAUGUUGCAUUUUCAAAAGCACUGGAGACAAGGCCACCCUGUCAUAGUUCGUGAUGUUCAUGAAGGCUCAACUGGUUUGAGUUGGGAGCCUAUGGUCAUGUGGCGUGCAGUUCGAGAGACGACCGUUUCACGUCGGCAGUUCUCAGAAGACACACAAUCGGCGUGGGCAGUUGACUGUGCGGAUUGGAAUGAGGUUUACUUGAAUCUUCACAGAUUCUUUACAGGGUAUAAGGACGGAUGGUUAAAUGAAAAGACAGGGUGGCCUUACAUGUUCAAGCUUAAGGACUGGCCACCAACGAAUCAUUUUGACGUGCGCCUUCCUCGUCACGGAUCUGAGUUUGUUGCCUCUUUGCCUUUUAAGAAUUACACUAAUCCACAUACUGGUAUCCUCAACCUUGCUACUAAGCUUCCAAAAGGUGCCCUCAAACCGGACUUGGGCCCCAAAUCGUAUAUUGCGUAUGGUUUGCGAGAGGAGCUUGGACGUGGUGAUUCAGUGACAAAAUUGCAUUGCGACAUGGCUGAUGCGGUCAAUGUUCUCUCCCAUACAUGGGAAGUAAACUUCAAGCCUCAUGUAAAACAGAAAAUAGACAAACUUCGUACGACUUAUCGAGAGACUGUCAAAGAGCAAGUAGCCAAGACGCUCGCCGGAGAAGACUCUGCAAAAACGGAGAAUGUGGAUGGGAUCGCAGCAGCUGUAGACGAAAACAAUACUAAAAGAGCGUCCCGCAAGAAGUCAGGAAAGCGAAAUGACAAAAGUGACAUUGAGAAGAACUCAAAUGUUUCAGGGUUUGAUCUGUUUGAAGAGCACUACAAGCAAGCUGAAGCAGAGGCCAACGUUCCUGCAGAACAAACGAUGGACACAGUUGGCGAUGCGAAUGGGGAUUCUUGCGCUGAGUCAACGUAUGGAGGGGCUUUGUGGGAUAUAUUUAGGCGGGAAGAUGUCCCCAAAUUAAAACAGUACUUGAUGAAGCAUAUGGGCGAGUUUCGACAUUUUGAUGAUUUGCCUAUUGAUUCUGUAGACCACCCUAUUCACGAUCAGAUUUUCUACCUCGAUGAGGAGCACAAGAGAAAGUUGAAAGAGGAGUACCAAGUGGAGCCCUGGACAUUUGAACAGUAUGAACAGGAAGCAGUUUUUGUUCCAGCUGGAUGUCCUCACCAAGUGCGCAAUUUGAAGUCCUGUAUCAAGGUGGCCUUGGAUUUUGUGUCUCCAGAGAAUGUACAAGAAUGUCUGGAUUUAACUAGUACAUUCCGCUUACUUCCCGUGGACCAUCGAGCUCGGGAGGACAAACUAGAGGUCAAGAAAAUGACUCUUUAUGCAGCGAAGGAAGCUGUCAGUUUUCUGAAGGGUGUUCCGGAGGAGAGCUCUGAAAAUGAAGCUGCUCCUGCAUCCAAACGCCAGCUUAAAUGCCAGCCUAAACGCAAAGUUACAUCGAAAAAACGGAGAGCAAAAUGAGUCCUUGCAAUUCCGGCAAGUAGGGUUGUAUAGUGCGACAAUGUUCAAAUGACCUGAACUCAACGGUGGCAGGUUGGAUUCAACUAGUGAGUAUGAGAGUCCAUAUUCUUGUUCAACUUCGGUGGUACCUUGGAGAUUGCAGUGGUUGCAUGGUUGCAGCGACACAUGUAACCAUAUCGCAACAUUUCUGUCUGGAGUUCAGAUAAAUAUUGAAGGGAGCAUUUUGAAAGACAGUGACAUGAGGAUGUAAAUGUGAGAUUCCCGCAUGUCACCAUCUUUGGUGACAUGUAUGCAAGUACUACACCUGGGCGCUUCAGCAUUUGUGAACUAGGACAUAAACUUAGAAGCAUUGCUAGUAGCAGUUGUAGCCAAUCCAUAUUUACUUGUUUAACCUUUAGAGCUCCUUUGAUUUUGUCUUUAAAGGGCUAUUUAAAAAAUAAAUGAACUAAUUCUAUCUUUAAAAUCUAAGAAAAAUCCAUGUAUGAUCCACAAGUUAACUUUA